ensembl:lncRNA
GACGUGGUGGGCGGGGCUAUAGUAAAAACACAUUGAAUCCAGCACGGUUGUAGCGGAAUACGAGCGGCUUGUUUGAGUAGGUGCCUGGGUUAUGAAAUUAUUUAUGUUUCGUAAACAACUUUAGUAUAUGACAACUAACUAAUUACUGUGAAAUUAAUACGGACUAUGCUUUAAAACAGAUACGAGUGAAAUAAUGUUCUGUGCUAUUGCUAUUUACUACUGCUAACUGCAUGCUUUUUGGUUUUAGCUUAAGAGAGCCUAAACGCCAUACGAUGUCCGGGGAAAGUUGUCUGUACUCUUCUGCUGGCGUUAUAGAGCACGUGUCCUGCAUAUGCGAAUACCAAUCCAAGUCCAUUGCUAUAUGCCAGUGCGUGGCUUCAUUUUAGAUACACAGUAGGCUAUGUUGUUGCAGUUCAGAUUCACAACCAUGCUUUACAUCCUCGGUAUUAUUAACUCAUCAAGAUUAUAUUCUUCUGUGUGUGCACAGCCUAUUGGUUUUCUACAUAAUUUAUUCGUAUUUCUCUGAGUGUUGAUUAUUGCAAUAGUGCUAAUACGUUUGCGCAUCGACAGGUGAACGCAACAAACUAAUCAAUGAGCCACUCGGCGGAUAUACAAAGCACCCCGUGCAGCUUUACAAUGGCGCCACCUGCUGGCUGAGUGGAAUAAGACUGCGUAACAAUCCAAAAGAAUGGAUGAAAGAAUGUGAAAUCUGUACAGACAGCUGCCAGAGAUCAAUCAAUCAAUCAAUUUGUAUAUUUGAUCAAGAGGGACAGUGUACAUUCAUGAACAUUAAAAUGUAAAUGCACCCAUUUAUAGCCAAAAGGGGCCUGUUAGGUAACAUAUGUAUUGGGAAAUUUGGACAGGGAUGUUGGACUUCUGCCUUCUAUUAUCACAUAUCCUUCUAUUAUUUUUAACAAUACUGAAAUGUAGAGAGGGCCCUUUCUGGAGAGAUUGUCUUGCAUUCUGAUUGGGUCAUCAGCUUAGCCUGAUCCACAUUUUGACCCUCUGAUGCUUUUGGACAAGCAUGUCUCAAAUGCAGUUCAUGUAUUUUUCUAUGAAACUGAAACCACCUAACACCCCAGUGAAAAACAGCUGAAUCUCUGCGUCCGCUUGUGGUUUGUGGAUGGACAGUGAAGCAAGCAGCCUGACUUACUAUGGCAACUUCAACAAGAUCAACAGUAUAUCAUAACAAUGAUGUACAGAUUAUACAACUAGAGCAAUGUUUCUGACACAUUAUCCUAUUUGAGCCAAAGAUAAGGAAGGCUCCCAAUGCAUGAUUUAUCAUCUACCUUAACGGUGGUUCAAUCUCCGUGAUCAGUGAGUGAUGAGGUGCACCUGUUAGUGAUUCAGCAGAAUGACCUGGCCAGAGGAAAGGGAAUGGGACAAAUCCAUGAGAAAAAGAAACACAGCCAAGCCCACACGAACUAAAGAUGCAGCACUCGAUUGCAUACAUUUGCAUACAACUAAAUUUGGAGCGCUGCUCCUGUUGGUGCGACGAGGGAUAACAUAUAACACAACAACAGUACAACUAGCUAAUAAAAUAGAGUUCAACAAAGUGCGGUAGUAUAGAUUGCAAGUACUUCCCUGAGGUGCUUUCCAAUAAAUACUAUCUAAUAUAAGAUAGCAGACAUAGGGAAAGGUUAAAAAUACAAUGCGAAUACAUUGCACUCACCUUUUAAAAUAAUUGUUUUCAACUUGUGAUUUAGGAUCAAGGGAUCCCAAAACUACAUACAGAGCAAUUCCUUGUGUGUUCACUUUGUCAGAACACUCACAUGCACACACAAACAAAUCCUUUUCGUCUGUUGGAAGUGAAUAAUCUGGCUGUGAUUAGUUGCACAUAGUUGGGCUGUUCUUGGUGGUGGAAAGGCUUGUGUCUCAACUUGAAUUCUUCUACACCACUGUAGAUGUUCCAGUUGCUCAGAGGUAUGUGGGAUGAGAAAGGAAACAAGAUAUUUAACUAUAAAUAACUAUCUUAUGACAAACCAGUCCACCGUAAUGCUACUUUUAAUGGCAGUUAACAAACCGUGAUGUUAGAAACACAUACUUAGGAAAUUCACCUUCAAAAGUGUUCCAGUUGGCUGCCUGAUGUGAUGCCUGACGCGUGCAGUUUUGAGUGGAACAAUCUACUGCCUCCCCCUUCUUAACCCGCAACACAGGGGUCAGGGGUCACCAGUUGGCUUGAUCUUGUCAGUUCUUGCUGCUUGAUGAACACAUCAAGUUCUGAACAGAAAGUUCUAUUUUUCAACCCUAUGACCUACAUUUACUCAUCGAGAGACUUAUAGCACAGAUACAGUGACAUGCAAAAGUUUGAGCACCUCUGGUCAAACGUUCUGUUACUGUGAAUAGAUAAAAAAAAAGCAUAAAGUUAAUGACACAUUUCUUUACUAUUUUUUUUUUUUUUACCAAGAUUACUUUUCUAUUUCUACCUUGUACACUUUGGGACUGACAGGGCUAUGGCCCUCAGCUUGUGCCUCUUGAGUGAAAUGUUCCCCAUUGCCAUUGGCUGCUUCACCAGCCCGACGCAUUACUGAUCCAGCCCUGUGCGUAAUAGGUGGAGAGGUCUUCUUCUCCUGCCCCCUUUUUUCUCCAAAUAUACCUUUGCUCAUUGUGGCCGAAGAGUUCUAUUUUCACUUGAGUCGUCCAAAAUGCGGCACUGAGACUUUUGACAAGGACCAAGAAGUUUGAUCGCAUCCCAUACCUACUGGCUCCCAGUGAAGUUAAGGAUUGAUUUAAAGAUUUUAUUGUUUGUUUUUAAGCCUGUGAAUGGCACUGAUACUUUUGACAAGGACCAAGAAGUUUGAUCACAUCAUACCUGUUUUACCUACUGGCUCCCAGUGAAGUUAAGGAUUGAUUAAAAGAUUUUAUUGUCUGUUUUUAAGCCUGUGAAUGGUCUAGCUCCAGCCUAUAUUUCAGAUCUCCUGACACCUUAUGCUCCGUGAUGGGCCUUAAGAUCCUCAAAUGAACUUUUCCUAGUUUUACCUGGGUCUAAUUUGAAAUGUAAAGGGUGAUCAAGCUUUUACUGUUGUUGGCCCUGAAUGAUAAAAUACCCUCCCAUUACACAUCAGAUCAGCUGCCUGUAUAGAAACUUUUAAAAAUAGAUUAAAAACGUACUUUCACACACUUGCAUUCCCUGGAACUUUUAUCUUGAAGAUCUUGAGUGUCUUGUUAAAUAUGUUAUAGCUACAGAUCCAGCUAAUACUAAUGUGUUGAAGGCUCAGCAUCUAUGUGCCAAACUGAGGUCAGUUUUCUGUAUUACACACUCUGUCCUGUAUUAGACGUCCUGGACCUUCCGUCUGAUGGCAGUGUAAUGGUGUAAUUGUGUAUGGCCCCUUGGUCUAACUAUCUACAGGUCGUUAUGGUGAUGAGUCUUGGUUCUUCUCUUGAUGGAACUUCAUCUUGAAAGUCUUGAUGAUGGUAAACAGCAUCCAUGGCAAAUAUCUGGAGCUCAUCCACAUAGAGCAGAUGGGGCGGCUUAGCUUUCUACAACUCCUGUCCAUAAAUUCUAGCAUUCAUAAGGUGCUGAGUGGUGCUACUGCAACGCAAACGAGUAAUGGUGAUGGGGAAUAAUCUUACCACUGUGAUUCUGACUCUCCUAAAUGUUAAUAAUGUGUCUGCAAAGGGGAUAUUCCCGCUGGUCGUUUAGGUCUCCGUACGCAGUUAAAUGUAUGACAGACUGUUUAGAUAUGCAGGACCCUCUUUGAGUGGGAGAUUUGCAGGAAGGCAGUGGUACUAUGGCAGAGUCACACGUCACCAGGCAGAAGUGGCCCUCAACCAGAGAGGUGAAGUGGGGGACUUUCUCAUCCGUGACAGUGAAUCAUCGGUAGGCAGCACACUCUUUCUCUGGGGCUGAUCAUUAAGAAAUAGAAGUUGCCAUGAGCUGUCUUCAUGGCCCACCAGCCUAAAAAUAUUUCAUAGACAACGCAUUCUGGACUACAAAACCCAUAAAUUCUCUACAAAACAAUGUAACACCAUAAUGCAAUUUUGUCCAUGAGAAACUCGUCAGCAAGUUUAAGUAAUGCAAGUUUAAGAAGCCUUUGCGUUCGUGGACAGAAUACAUUCAUAAAUAUGCCAAUUUACUAAAUGUAUCGGAGCAAAGCACUUUUGUGCACAUUAUACUCUCAGUCAUAUAGGCAGUUCAUUUUGUACCUUAACAAAAUACUGAAAUCUACGAAAGAUCAAGCAGCUUUUGCUGUCGUGGACGGGAUUCUUUCUGAAUUAUUUUAGUGCUGUGCAUUCUGAAUUUCGUGCCACAAAUGUUGAACCAAGGACAUCUAUUAUGUGGAUAGGAUUACUUUUGCAUAUGAAAUAAGAUUAUUUUGUUCACAA